rnacentral:rRNA from 1 species
GGACUACAGGGGUAUCUAAUCCUGUUUGCUACCCACGCUUUCGCGCAUCAGCGUCAGUACCGGUCCAGGUAGCCGCCUUCGCCACUGGUGUUCCUCCCAGUAUCUACGCAUUUCACCGCUACACUGGGAAUUCCACUACCCUCUCCCGGACUCAAGCCCAACAGUUUCAAAGGCAGUUCCUCAGUUGAGCCGAGGGAUUUCACCUUUGACUUAUAGAGCCGCCUACGCGCCCUUUACGCCCAAUAAUUCCGAAUAACGCUCGCCCCCUCCGUAUUACCGCGGCGGCUGGCAC